UAAAAUGCGGACGCGGACCGCGGACUGCGGACAGGAUAAACUGCGGACUUUCACCUGCGCACUGGCCCAAAAUUUUUGACAGCAGUCCGCAGUUUCUCCACAGGGUAGCUGUCCGCAGUCCGCGUAUUAUACGGGCCUACGGGGAUACAGCAUCCACAUGUCUAUGCGUUGGUAAGGCAGAAAAUUGUUUGAAAUUUAAUAUCAGAUAUGGGCAUGGAGUCCGCAGAUACCAGUCCGCAGUUUAUCCUGUCCGGUCCGCACUUUCAAUCGCUCCAUGUACGAAACGGUCCGCAUUUUAUCCCUAAGUCCACGAAAAAUCUGUCAAAAAAUUUUGGGCCAGUCCGCAGGUGAAAGUCCGCAGUUUCUCCUGUCCGCGUCCGCAUUUUAUCCUGGCCCCGAAACGGUCUGCAUUUUAUCCCUAAGUCCACGAAAAAUCUGAAAAAAAUUUUGGGCCAGUCCGCAGGUGAAAGUCCGCAGUUUCUCCUGUCCGCAGUCCGCGGUCUGCGUGCGCAUUUUAUCCUGGCCCCAUAUGACUCUGCUUCAAGCAAAAAAGCCAAAGAGCAUUGAAGUGACAGCUUGUCAGCACAUUUACAGACGAACAUUCCUUUAAAUUACAAUAUCCCUCUAUUUCCCAUUGUGCCAAAGCUUUAUUUCGUACAGGAACGCUUUUAUAUUUUCACAGGUGAUAUCUAAAAUGAAAAAUGAAAGUUAAAAUUAAA